rnacentral:rRNA from 1 species
CAGUCGCCACGGUAAUACGUAGGUGGCAAGCGUUGUCCGGAAUUAUUGGGCGUAAAGGGCUCGCAGGCGGUUUCUUAAGUCUGAUGUGAAAGCCCCCGGCUCAACCGGGGAGGGUCAUUGGAAACUGGGAAACUCGAGUGCAGAAGAGGAGAGUGGAAUUCCACGUGUAGCGGUGAAAUGCGUAGAGAUGUGGAGGAACACCAGUGGCGAAGGCGACUCUCUGGUCUGUAACUGACGCUGAGGAGCGAAAGCGUGGGGAGCGAACAGGAUUAGAUACCCCCGUAGUCCCUGUCUCUUAUAC